CUUUUCACGUAGCAUUAAAUUUAUUAUGAAAAAGACAAAAUUAAUGGUUUUAAAUCAUUCAUAAAUGUUAUAGAAUUAUUUAUAGAAUUUUAUAAAUUUAAUCCACUCUUAAAUACUAAAUCUUAAAAAAUGAUCAUUAAACUUUAAAUCCAAAUGUUAUGAUAUUUUUGAUUAAAUGUGUUUUUGGAAUAUGAAAUUUAAUUUAGUAUAUUUCAAACAGUUUCUCUUAUAUUAUUGGUAACUUAGUUAAAACUGGAAAAAAUAAAUUAAAACUAUAAGGGUUAAAUCGUAUAAAAUACAAGUUAUUCAACUUAUUCAACAUGCGAGGCACACGCAGGGAAGUCAAGUGUGAACCUUUAAUUUAAAGCUCUAGUGCCGAAGUAAGUGCUACUUAAGUACACUAAUAAAUCUGAAGGACAUUUUUCAAUCCAUACCACGAUCCUCUAACUAAUGUUCAAUUUACGGCAUUCUUAACACUAGGUGCUGAGACCCCGCGCAAGCGCGGAGCUGGUUACUUUGGAUAUCGGUG
rnacentral:lncRNA from 1 species